CCUACGGGAGGCAGCAGUGAGGAAUAUUGGUCAAUGGACGAGAGUCUGAACCAGCCAAGUAGCGUGAAGGAUGACUGCCCUAUGGGUUGUAAACUUCUUUUAUAUGGGAAUAAAAUGUUCCACGUGUGGGAUUUUGUAUGUACCAUAUGAAUAAGGAUCGGCUAACUCCGUGCCAGCAGCCGCGGUAAUACGGAGGAUCCGAGCGUUAUCCGGAUUUAUUGGGUUUAAAGGGAGCGUAGGUGGAUUGUUAAGUCAGUGGUGAAAGUUUGCGGCUCAACCGUAAAAUUGCAGUUGAAACUGGCAGUCUUGAGUACAGUAGAGGUGGGCGGAAUGCGUGGUGUAGCGGUGAAAUGCUUAGAUAUCACGAAGAACCCCGAUUGCGAAGGCAGUUCACUGGACUGCAACUGACACUGAGGCUCGAAAGUGUGGGUAUCAAACAGGAUUAGAUACCCGAGUAGUC
rnacentral:rRNA from 1 species